UACGUAGGGUGCGAGCGUUAAUCGGAAUUACUGGGCGUAAAGCGUGCGCAGGCGGUUUUGUAAGCCAGAUGUGAAAGCCCCGGGCUUAACCUGGGAAUGGCAUUUGGGACUGCAAGGCUUGGGUGCGGCAGAGGAGACUGGAAUUCCCGGUGUAGCCAGUGAAAUGCGUAGAUAUCGGGAGGAAUACCGAUGGCGAAGGCAGGUCUCUGGGCUGACACUGACGCUCAUGCACGAAAGCGUGGGGAGCAAACAGG
rnacentral:rRNA from 1 species